CCCUUUUCUAUCUUGCUAUCUGAUUUGUGUUUAAAUGAGUUUAUGAUAUAAGCAUUACAACUCUCUUAAAAAAGCGCUCCCCCCACCAACCCCCCACUAAUUUAGGUUAAAAACAAAGUAAUGGCAGCAAAAGUGUCUUUAAGUUUUGCAAUAAUCCUUCCAGUACUUCUGCAUCCCAAAAGGCUCCAGAUGUGACCAGCCACUGCAAAAUGAUGAAGAAACUGGAGCAUAAACCAUUUAGAAGACAAACAACUGAAAAUUUCCAGAAGAGCAGAGGAAAUCCCUUCCCUCAGUCAUUUUC
rnacentral:lncRNA from 1 species